GACGAACGCUGGCGGCGGGCUUAACACAUGCCAGUCGAACGGAAAGGCCCUGCUUUUGUGGGGUGCUCGAGUGGCGAACGGGUGAGUAACACGUGAGUAACCUGCCCUUGACUUUGGGAUAACUUUAGGAAACUGGGGCUAAUACCGGAUAGGAGCUCCUGCUGCAUGGUGGGGGUUGGAAAGUUUCGGCGGUUGGGGAUGGACUCGCGGCUUAUCAGCUUGUUGGUGGGGUAGUGGCUUACCAAGGCUUUGACGGGUAGCCGGCCUGAGAGGGUGACCGGCCACAUUGGGACUGAGCUACGGCCCAGACUCCUACGGGAGGCAGCAGUGGGGAAUAUUGCACAAUGGGCGGAAGCCUGAUGCAGCAACGCCGCGUGCGGGAUGACGGCCUUCGGGUUGUAAACCGCUUUCGCCUGUGACGAAGCGUGAGUGACGGUAAUGGGUAAAGAAGCACCGGCUAACUACGUG
rnacentral:rRNA from 1 species